UAGCCAUCCUAACGGGAGCAGCAGUGGGGAAUAUUGCACAAUGGGCGCAAGCCUGUUGCAGCCAUGCCGCGUGUAUGAAGAAGGCCUUCGGGUUGUAAAGUACUUUCAGCAGUGAGGAAGGUGGGUAUGUUAAUAGCAUAUUCAUUUGACGUUAGCUGCAGAAGAAGCACCGGCUAACUCCGUGCCAGCAGCCGCGGUAAUACGGAGGGUGCGAGCGUUAAUCGGAAUUACUGGGCGUAAAGCGCAUGCAGGUGGUUUGUUAAGUCAGAUGUGAAAGCCCGGGGCUCAACCUCGGAAUUGCAUUUGAAACUGGCAAACUAGAGUACUGUAGAGGGGGUAGAAUUUCAGGUGUAGCGGUGAAAUGCGUAGAGAUCUGAAGGAAUACCGGUGGCGAAGGCGGCCCCCUGGACAGAUACUGACACUCAGAUGCGAAAGCGUGGGGAGCAAACAGGAUUAGAUACCCUGGUAG
rnacentral:rRNA from 1 species